rnacentral:rRNA from 1 species
GACGAACCGAGCGCACGUUGUUCGGAAUCACUGGGCUUAAAGGGCGCGUAGGCGGAUUCUCAAGUCCGGGGUGAAAUCCCACAGCUCAACUGUGGAACUGCCUCGGAUACUGGGGGUCUCGAGGGUGGCAGGGGUAUGCGGAACUAUCGGUGGAGCGGUGAAAUGCGUUGAUAUCGAUAGGAACUCCGGUGGCGAAGGCGGCAUACUGGUCCACUUCUGACGCUGAGGCGCGAAAGCCAGGGGAGCAAACGGG